UAUUGGGGGCAGGAAUGACAAGCAGUGGGGCAAAGUCUCCAAUUUCUUCUACCUUGGCUCUGGUGAGUGGGGAGCUCCAGGCCAACCAGUUAAAGAUUGGCCAGGUAUGCGUGAGAAGCUCAGGCCGUCUCCAGACCACGGUGAGCCAGAUGGGGUAGUGACCGUCUGGUGACCAUGGAGCCACCUCAGAUCUGUCCUGAAAUUUCCUCAGGGACCUGGGCCCUGCUGCAGCUUAGAGGGGCAAAGGAUGGCAAUGCCUGCUUGUGGCUUGUUGGGAGUCCUUUUUUUUUUUAGAUGAAGUUUUACUCUUAUCACCCAGGCUGGAAUGCAAUGGCAUGAUCUCGGCUCACUGCGAAUCUCCUGCCUCAGCCUCCCAAAUAGCUGGGAUUACAGGCACACACCAUCAUGCCUGACUAAUUUUGUUUUUUACUAGGGUUUCACCAUGUUGGCCAGGCUGGUCUUGAACUCCUGACCUCAGGUGAUCAGCCCGCCUUGGCCUCCCAAAGUGCUGAGAUUACAGGUGUGAGCCCUGGAGCCUGGCCUGCUGGGAGUCUUUGUAUGUGACACCAGGGUGCAUCAUGAGCCUGCAGGCAGUCUAGGGGCUCUGGAGGAUACGGCCAUGUCCCCUCAAAUAGGAGCUUCCAGGGCCGGCCGUGUUUCUCUCUCAGACAGGGCCAACUUCUUUUCCUGAGAUUCUCAGGGCUGGGCUGCCCAUGACAGAGCCAUAUUCCUUUCAGUUGAGAGAUCUCAGAGGACUCCACCUCCCUGCUCAGAUUGGCCCCUUGGGGCAGCGCCAUGUCUGUGGUCCCUCCCAGGACAAAGCUGUGUUUCCGCUUUCAGACAAGGGAUCUCAGAACAGAUGAACCGCCUUUCUAAUUAGUUCUCUGAGUCGACGUCGGACUUAUUGAUUCCCAGUGUUGGGAUCCGAGCAACCCACUGUGGCAGCCUAAAUAGCAGCGGUAAGACUGAUGGUGCUCUUCUGCCCGGGAAUCUCUGGUCUGGCUUCCCUCUUGAGUCCGCAACAAGCGGCUCUGACUUCCCGGAGCUCCAAACUCCGGUCAGUAGGGGAAGCGGUCCCGUUGGCUCUGCAUGAAGAGCUGCUGCGCCGAGACGCCGGCAAAACCACUGCGGCGGCCACAAGAGUCGCGCUGUCGACCCGUGGGGCUCCUCCACUGGGAAUCGGCUGAUCGGGCAUGAUCAAGGGCUGAUGGCUAUAAGACAUCAGGAAUGAAGCCGUGCCAGCUGGAUGAGUCAGACGACUUCUGGGGAGAGGAAGCCCGAGUCAGCAUUGACUUUGAUGAAGGGUAGGAUUCUGGAGUCAGAGAAGAGGCUAGAAGGCAUUCCAGGCAGAAGGUUCAGCGUUAGCAAAGUUGGAGGAUGGCAGGGCCAUGCUUGUGAGCAUGAGGCCGACCUAGGUGGCACAGAGGCACUGGGAGGGAGGGAGGAUGAGCAGAGGGGAAUGAGAGCUGCGAUGGAAAGUGGGAUUUCCUCCCGAGAGCUAGGGGUUUGAUUAUGUUUGGAUUGGGUGGGGCGGACUGAGGCUGGGAUCUGAGCGGAAGGAGGUGGGGAAGGAGAUGCUGAGCCAGGGCAGGGGCGGGGGUGAGAGGCCAGGAAGAGAAAACACGGGAAGGACUUCAGGGGUGGGAGGACAGAACCGGCGGGCCUCACCUGUGGGGAAUGGUGAAGGGGACAAAGGAGGAGU